rnacentral:rRNA from 1 species
UGAUCUGCCCUCAAGUGGGGAAUAACGCUGCGAAAGCAGUGCUAAUACCGCAUAAGCUAGGCUAGAAAUAGCAUAGUAAAGCUAAGGCGCUUGAGGAGGAACCCGCGGCUGAUUAGCUAGAUGGUGGGGUAAUGGCCUACCAUGGCGAUGAUCAGUAGCCGGCCUGAGAGGGCUGACGGCCACACUGGGACUGAGACACGGCCCAG